rnacentral:snoRNA from 1 species
AGAGGUUGCAAUGAGGAUAAAACGCUCCCUCUUCUGAGUUAAAGUUGAGGACAACUGCUGGCAGAAUCGAACCAAUAUAACUAGCCACCACUGAGCAA